ensembl:lncRNA
CUUUUAACUGUGGUGCUGGAUCUAAGAUGUCUACAUCUGAAAAGUAUACCCUGGGAGAGGUAACUAGAGUUCUUCCUACUGCGUGUUCUACUCGCAGACAUUCAUGGAGGCCCUCACGUGUGCCAGCCAUGUGCAGAGAGAACCAACAAGCAAGGGCCAAUUGUAAGGGCCUCAGAGUCUGUUGAGAAAAGGACACAGGCACUCAAACCAAUGCCACUCAACACUGCAGGCAUGGCAGCUGAGCUUGUGUGCAAGUGAGGUGCUACUGAAACCUGGUUACA